UGCUGGAAUACACGCCACAUCGACAGACAAAGAUUCUACAUCUGAUGAAGCUCCUACAGAGAGCAUAAACGCCAUCUCUCCUGAUCACCCUGGUAAGAAUCUCUGUUAUUUUGAACUCAGACACAGCUGGAAAACACCUUUAAGCUCAUGAUAUCAGUGUACGGAGUGUUAAAGUCUCGGUGAGAACAGAAAUGGUCAGACUCCACCAACUUUGUGUAUCCUGAUCGACAAUGUUAGGGUGAGUGAAUCUAGACAACAGAAAGUAUACUGAGUAUACUGAACUGCCU